rnacentral:rRNA from 1 species
AAUAUUGGACAAUGGGGGCAACCCUGAUCCAGCCAUGCCGCGUGUGUGAAGAGGGUCUUCGGAUUGUAAAGCACUCUAAGUUGGGAGGAAGGGCUUUAGGCUAAUACCCUGAAGUUUUGACGUUACCAACAGAAUAAGCACCGGCUAACUCUGUCCCAGCAGCCGCGGUAAUACACAGGGUGCAAGCGUUAAUCGGAAUUACUGGGCGUAAAGCGCGCGUAGGUGGUUCAGUAAGAUGGGUGUGAAAUCCCAGGGCAUAACGUGGGAAGUGCUUUCAUAACUGCUGAGCUAGAGUAGGGUAGAGGGUAGUGGAAUUUCCUGUGUAGCAGUGAAAUGCGUAGAUAUAGGAAGGAACACCAGUGGCGAAGGCGACUACCUGGACUGAUACUGACACUGAGGUGCGAAAGCGUGGGGAGCAAAA